rnacentral:rRNA from 1 species
ACGGGGGGUGCGAGCGUUGUCCGGAAUCACUGGGCGUAAAGGGCGCGUAGGUGGCCUGAUAAGGGUGUGGUGAAAGUCCGGGGCUUAACCCCGGAUCUGCCGUGCCGACUGUUAGGCUAGAGUGCUGUAGGGGCAGGCGGAAUUCCGGGUGUAGCGGUGGAAUGCGUAGAGAUCCGGAGGAAGACCGGUGGCGAAGGCGGCCUGCUGGGCAGAUACUGACACUGAGGCGCGACAGCGUGGGGAGCAAACAGGA